rnacentral:rRNA from 1 species
UACGGAGGAUCCAAGCGUUAUCCGGAAUCAUUGGGGUUUAAAGGGUCCGUAGGCGGCCUUAUAAGUCAGUGGUGAAAGCCCCAUCGCUCCAACGAUGGAACUGCCAUUGAUACUGUAAGGCUUGAAUUAUUGUGAAGUAACUAGAAGUAUGUAGUGUAGCGGUGGAAAUGCUUAGAUAUUACAUGGAAUACCAAUUGCGAAAGGCACGGUUACUAACAAUGGAUUGACGCUGAUGGACGAAAGCGUGGGGAGCGAACAGGAUUAGAUACCCCCGUAGU